rnacentral:rRNA from 1 species
GACGAACGCUGGCGGCGUGCUUAACACAUGCCAGUCGAACGAAGAGCGAUGGAAGCUUGCUUCUAUCAAUAUUAGUGGCGAACGGGUGAGUAACGCGUAAUCAACCUGCCCUUCAGAGGGGGACAACAGUUGGAAACGACUGCUAAUACCGCAUACGAUCCAAUCUCGGCAUCGGGACUGGAUGAAAGGUGGCCUCUAUUUAUAAGCUAUCACUGAAGGAGGGGAUUGCGUCUGAUUAGCUAGUUGGAGGGGUAACGGCCCACCAAGGCGAUGAUCAGUAGCCGGUCUGAGAGGAUGAACGGCCACAUUGGGACUGAGACACGGCCCAGACUCCUACGGGAGGCAGCAGUGGGGAAUCUUCCGCAAUGGACGAAAGUCUGACGGAGCAACGCCGCGUGAGUGAUGACGGCCUUCGGGUUGUAAAGCUCUGUUAAUCGGGACGAAUGGUUCUUGUGCGAAUAGUGCGAGGAUUUGACGGUACCGGAAUAGAAAGCCACGGCUAACUACGUG